UACCUGCAGCUCGAGUGGUGACCGCUAUUAUUGGGCCUAAAGCGUCCGUAGCCGGUUUGGUAAAUAUCUGGGUAAAUCGUGAGGCUUAACUUCACGAAUUUCGGAUAGACUGCCAGACUUGGGAUCGGGGGAGGUCAGAGGUACUCCAGGGGUAGCGGUGAAAUGUUGUAAUCCUUGGAGGACCACCGGUAGCGAAGGCGUCUGACUAGAACGAGUCCGACGGUGAGGGACGAAGCCCUGGGGCGCAAACCGGAUUAGAUACCCGGGUAGUCCAGGGUGUAAACAAUGUGGGCUUUGUAUUGGAGAUCCCACGUGGGUGUCCAGUGCAGAAGAGAAGUUGUUAAGCCCACCGCCUGGGAUGUACGGUCGCAAGGCUGAAACUUAAAGGAAUUGGCGGGGGAGCACAGCAACGGGAGGAGCGUGCGGUUU
rnacentral:rRNA from 1 species